AGGACGAGCGCUGGCGGCGUGCUUAACACAUGCAAGUCGAGCGGAAAGGCCCUUCGGGGUACUCGAGCGGCGAACGGGUGAGUAACACGUGAGUAACCUGCCCCAAACUUUGGGAUAACCCUCGGAAACGGGGGCUAAUACCGAAUAUUACUUCUGGUCGCAUGGCUGGUGGUGGAAAGUUUUUCGGUUUGGGAUGGACUCGCGGCCUAUCAGCUUGUUGGUGAGGUAAUGGCUCACCAAGGCGAGGACGGGU
rnacentral:rRNA from 1 species